rnacentral:lncRNA from 1 species
GUUUUUUUCAAAUAUUACAUUGUACAUUUUUUCUACAUCUGUAAUCUACAUCUACAUCAUUUCUCACACCAAAACGCUCUUUUAACUCGCCCCCCACCCCUACACAGUGAAGCAGAGUGUUGAUCAGGGAGAAAUGCUUCCCCUUAAUAUCUUAGUCUCUUAGAAAACCAAAAACAUCUCUACUGCAUGUCUACAUGUCUACUUUUUUAAUUGAUCGCUCGUUUACCCUAUUGAUAUAUCUUUGUAUCUAUGCGCGAUACAACACCUGGUUGGAAAUAAUCGUGGUACAUGUUACCAAUACCAUCGUUCACUCUUUAUUCUUGACUAUGUGCUCCUUACUUCUUGCAAAAAUAGUCCUGUUCAUGACAUUAUUGACCACAUUUGUUCUGGCUUGGAUUAC